rnacentral:rRNA from 1 species
GACGAACGCUGGCGGCGUGCCUAAUACAUGCAAGUCGAACGCCGUUGCGAACGGGUGUGUAACGCGUCGGUAACUUCCUCAUUGCGGGGGAUUACUAUUUGAAACGAUAGCUAAUACCGCAUACUUUUAGCUGGACCUGCUUUGUAUUAGCUAGUUGGGGAGGUAAAGGCCCACCAAGGCGGCGAUACAUAGCCGACCUGAGAGGGUGAUCGGGCACACGUGGACUGAGAAACGGCCCAGACUCCCACGGUAGGCAGCAGGAGGGAAGCAGCGGAAAUGGACGGAAGUCUGACCGAGCAACGCCGCGUGAGUGAAGAAGGGUUUCGGAUCGGAAAGCUAUGUGGUGAGAGAAGCGGUAACUAACCAGAAAGGGACGGCUAACUACGUGCCAGCAGCCGCGGUAAUUC